AUUGACUGGAGACCGUGAAAGCCACCAUUUCUCAUCCAAGUAGUUAAGGUAUUUAGUCUGGCGACCCAGAGAGCCACUCAGCUGCGCCUUUCCCAUGCCCCUGUCUCAGCCGAGAGGGCUCAGAGAAUGGCCUCCUGUGGCAGCUGCCCUGGACGGAGUCCCCUGCCCUUUCGGCUCCUGACAUCAGGGUGCAGUGAUGCAGGUUAGGUAAC
ensembl:lncRNA